rnacentral:lncRNA from 1 species
ACAUCCCUGGGAAAGUGCAAAGCAUGGGUGGAGAGUAAAGAAAUCAGUCUGGCUAGAACAGAAGCUUUGUGUAAGAGAAGUGUAAGAGAAAGUUAUAAAGUUGGCUAAAAGCCUUGCAUUUGGGCACCCAGUCAUUUAAAAAAAAACGUAUAAUAGAAUUGAAUUCUAGGGUUGAGCUUUAUCUUAGAGGCAACGGGGAGGCAUUGAGAGUUUUUAAGUGUGUGCCUGGAGAAAGAUGAAAUUGAUAUUUUAGGAAGAACAUUAUUACUACAAAGUACAGGAGAGUGUGAGAAACUGCCUGGCACCCCUGCCCCCUCACUCCAUCAGGUGUUGUUACUUGCCUCUGCCUGAAGGCUCCUGCUGGCCCACACUCUUAGACUACUUCAGGCUGUACAUAAAGGACCUCCACCUCAUAAGAUAAAAUAGAGGCUUAGUCAAACACAAUCUUGACUGAGUGGUUCCAAAAGGCUAAAUCUGGGGACAGGGAUAGAGACAGUGACGCUGUCUCUUUCAGCCAGUCUGUCCCUACUGCUGUAAAUGCUCCAGCAGCAAUGAUCCCGCAGCUCUGGAGCCCAAGAAAGUUUUCCUUGUUCUCUGGCCUAGCACCUGUGGUUCAGCAGAUUCACUGGGAUCUUAGAGACAUUAUAGAUGGGAUUUCCCUUGACCCAUCUGAGACCUCCCCAUGGCUGGUGAUAGCUGAGCAUGUGUGGAAACCAGACAAGUCACAGGCAGAGAGCCAUGAAUAGACUUUCAUUUGAUUCAGUCAAUUGGGAUCUUCUAUUUCCACUGUGUUUAUCUUGAAAUGACAUGAUCAAAACCAUGGUGCAGCAUUAUGGAAGAAGAAGAACUUUACAUCAUCCUACUUUUAAUCAAUUAUAUCCUUGCCUUCAUAGUGAAACAUUUUAUUCCAGAAAAACACCUGAGAGGUAGGCAUUAUGAAGCUUGAAAGGCUCAGUGUAAUCUUCAUUAAAGAAUGUGAUGGAUAAUAAAU